rnacentral:rRNA from 1 species
UCCUGACUGACCGAUAGUGAACCAGUACCGUGAGGGAAAGGCGAAAAGAACCCCGGCGAGGGGAGUGAAAAAGAACCUGAAACCGUGUACGUACAAGCAGUGGGAGCACGCUUAGGCGUGUGACUGCGUACCUUUUGUAUAAUGGGUCAGCGACUUAUAUUCUGUAGCAAGGUUAACCGAAUAGGGGAGCCGAAGGGAAACCGAGUCUUAACUGGGCGUUAAGUUGCAGGGUAUAGACCCGAAACCCGGUGAUCUAGCCAUGGGCAGGUUGAAGGUUGGGUAACACUAACUGGAGGACCGAACCGACUAAUGUUGAAAAAUUAGCGGAUGACUUGUGGCUGGGGGUGAAAGGCCAAUCAAACCGGGAGAUAGCUGGUUCUCCCCGAAAGCUAUUUAGGUAGCGCCUCGUGAAUUCAUCUCCGGGGGUAGAGCACUGUUUCGGCAA